rnacentral:rRNA from 1 species
UACGUAGGGUGCGAGCGUUGUCCGGAAUUAUUGGGCGUAAAGAGCUCGUAGGCGGUUUGUCGCGUCUGCCGUGAAAGUCCGGGGCUCAACUCCGGAUCUGCGGUGGGUACGGGCAGACUAGAGUGAUGUAGGGGAGACUGGAAUCCCUGGUGUAGCGGUGAAAUGCGCAGAUAUCAGGAGGAACACCGAUGGCGAAGGCAGGGUCUCUGGGCAUUAACUGACGCUGAGGAGCGAAAGCAUGGGGAGCGAACAGGA